CCCGCCUUCCGGCCAGCGGAAGUCGCUAGCUGCUCUUCCCCGGCCACGUGGAGCCUUUUCCGGUGCGCCCGCCCCCUCCGGCUCUCCGAUCCGGACCUGGCCCUCACCUCAGGAUUCCCAAUGUGCCUCCGGACAGACAUAUCUGCUCCAAACGACCACGCUGGGAUUCUAGCCUCACCGGAUAUAUAUAGAGCCGCAACUCUCAUUCCAAGAGGACUCUGAGGAGCCAACCUGAAUCUCAGAAUGUUCUGUCUCGGUGGGAAGGAGGAGUCAGCCGUGAGGCCCAGAGGCACAGGACUUGCCUGAGACUGAGGCUGAUUCCAGGAGAAUCAAGGACCACAACCUGCCUUCCAACACAGCCUAGCAACAAGCAGCAAGCAGUCUGUUGCCAAGGAGAAGGCAAGACUGUGGAGAGAAACCCCACGGAGUGGUGCAAAU